UCCCCCUCUUCCUCUCUGCCCUCCACAGAUCAGCCCUGCUGUGCUUUUCACAUUGGCACAUGAUGGCCAGGUUUUAAGCCUGCCUGUUACAUUUCAGUGGUAGACCCUCUUGACACACAUGGACGUGCACGCCCGCUGACUCACCAACCUGCUCGUCUGUCACAGUGAUUAAGUGUGAUCAAUGCUGCGCGGUAAACGUGUCUGUGCUAAUGUACAAUAAUAUGUCCUGUACAACAGGAGCUGGCUGAGAGGAAUGAGGUGGCUGAGACAAAGAGAAAGUCAGAGAUAAUCUCAACAUAGGCUCUAAAUUAUAGGGCGUUGCUUUGAUGCUAUAUAAUAAAAAUGGUCAAGGCGUUUAUAUACGCCUGGUCAAGGCGUUUGGUGUGUAGGCACACCAAAGUACACUCAACAUGUACACUGUAUGUAUAAAUGUGGAAGAUAGAAGCAGAGAGUUUAACUGUGCCCUGAUAAGUAUGUAUGGAAGUAUAUUGUAUUGUACGGUGUAAAUAUGUGUAUGGGCAAAGAGAGCGUGUCUGUGAGUGGGUCCACAGGGACAGAGAUGGAGAAAGAAAGAAAGUAACAAAGAAAGAGAGAAGAGCGAGAAAGUGGGACAGACAGCAGCGACACAGCUCUUAACUCCCUCCUCUCCUGCUCCAUCCUCCUGUCGUUCUCCUCUUUCAUUUGCCACUGAGGGGAAGGGAAGGAGGUCACCCACUCCUACAAGCACUCAAUCAACCUGUGCCGGUGACCUUGCUCGUCCUGGAUACCAUGCCCGCUCCCUCUGUUUGUCCGCCUGCUAAGCUGCCAUCCUGCUGCCAUCUCUCUGCAGCCGGUGCCAGGUUACACUGCGAGGAGCACAGAAGUGUCGCUCCACCAGAUGCACACUUUUCUGCCCAUGCUGUGCCAAAAUUUCAAUGGCAGACAGCUCUGUUUUACUUCAGUGUAUCAUGUUAAGAAAGAUCUUUGACAAGGAUCAUGACAAAACAUGCCCAGGUUAAUUAGUAUGUGGGGGGUUCUUCUCCCUCAUAUGCAACGUUGAUGUGCUGCUGAAGAGUGAUUUUUUCAUUAUGAAGGAAUGGUUUUGCCAAAGUGAAAUAGAGUGAAUGAGCGACAUGUAUAUUAAAAGGUCCAAUAUGUAA